rnacentral:rRNA from 1 species
UACGUAGGGGGCAAGCGUUGUCCGGAAGUCAUUGGGCGUAAAGCGCGUGUAGGCGGCUUGGUAAGUCCGCUCUGAAAGCCCGGGGCUCAACCCCGGGAGGCGGGGUGGAUACUGUCAAGCUCGGAGUCCGGAAGAGGCGAGUGGAAUCCUGGUGUAGCGGUGAAAUGCGUAGAUAUCAGGAGGAACACCGGCGGCGAAGGCGGCCCUCUGGAUCGUUGCUGACGUGAGACGCGAAAGCGUGGGGAGCAAACAGG